UGAUGCAGUGACAAAUCACAUCAAUAGAAGC
rnacentral:piRNA from 1 species